UAAACUGGUAGGUUCCGUCUUCACUUUGGCCAAACUGAUCAGCUGGAGUCCUUGUGGCUAACCCAAAUGGAUAGGUACCAAAUCAGAGAUGGGAGUUGAUCUCAAUUCGAAUUGGAGAAGGAGACACCUUCCUGUAUUCCCAAUAAAAGGAGGGCUCUGUCACAAUGCUCUACACCCCUGCUUCUACACAAAGAAUCGGAAAUUACUCCCUUGUUCGCAAAAAUUGGAUUUUGUGCUACGGGUUCGGAACGAUUCUUCAAGCACUUGUCUUGACCAUCUUUUUUCAUAAUCAAUACUUUGGAAAGGUUUUGGCCAUUCUUCCAUAAUUAAGAUUUCAGAAAGAUUUAGUUGACCACGAAGCCCUGCUGCCAAUUUUACAGAGGUCACAGAGAAGGAUUAAAAAAAACAACCUUUAAAGGGUGAGGCUUUGAUUAUUUCUCUUGGUUGAUUGGCCUUGUAUGGCUUUGUAUGGCUUGUUUUGGGAAGUGGUGGUGCAAGGCUUUUACUAUGGUGGAAGAAGGAAAACGAGGCAGAGCGGGGAGCUUCUUGUGUGAUGUGUAUUGCUGAGAUUGAAGGAAGAUAGUGUGGCGUCUUGUGCAGAUUUUUAGCUUUGGAACUUGGCCAUUCAUGAAUGACCCUAUGUUCCAGCAUUAGAAACUGCAGCAGCCAAGCACGUUGAGACUCCGGCCGUUCAUGAACGACCAUAUCAGUCUAAACGCAAGAGAAGCUUUCUCGGCCGUUCUUGAACGACCAUGGUUGUCUUCAAAAGGGUAUUGGCUGUUCAUGAACAGGCCCCAUUGCUUGAAGCGUAAACCUAUUAAUUCUCUGCCAAGGAAAACAAGAACAACAUGAUGCAGCGUAUACCUGAACUUCUCCUUUCGAGCUGCUUUGGUUUUGCUCUCUGUUUCUGCAGAGUCUUUGCUUGCAGAUUUUUCUUCUCUCUCUCUACGUCUCUCUCCGUCUCUCUCCGUGUCUCUCUGUGUGUAUUUCUCUUCGGUGUUGCAGCCUAUAUAUAGUGGUCAUGGGAUAGGCGUAACCGGAUAGUGAUAAUCACUUUGUAUUUUGCAUUUGAAUUUGAAUAACAAGUCUUAUCUUUAUCACUUGUUAUCUGUGAAUGUUUGAAUUGGUUGAGAUAUUAAUCAACACUUGAAUAGUCAAAGGCUCAAAGCUUGCAGAA